CUCACGGUGGGACAUGGGCUCAGGGAGAGGGACGGAAUUUCUUGCAGAUCCUGGUAGAGUUGUGUGCUCCUCGCCCAUCUCCUAGUGUUCCUCUGGAAACAAUCAUCUUCAGCUCUUCCAGUCACCAGCAAAUGGGGACUCUGUUGCCUGCUCUGUGUCUACAGCUGCCUAGAGAGUUCCCAUGCAGAAGAACUCCUUCUAGCAAACAUAAUCAGAUGCUAAAUGGACGGCGCCAGUAUCACCUACCUGCAAACAGUAAAAUGGAUGAAGAAACUAAGAUGAACCAGGCCUCCCAAAGUCCAGGCCUUUUAACUCAUUUCUGGAUUAUAACCCUGGGUCCACUGAAGUGGCCCCUCCGCUCUCCCACCAUCUGCUUGAGUUCUUCGUGCCUGGGCAUCUGGGAUGGGGCACAUUGCCUCGGCUGCUUCUCUACUGUGGGGGUGUCCCCUUUGGAAGUGAGGCUGCCUCCUCUCUGAGAACCUCCCUCCUCUCUGAGAACCUCCCUCCUACAGUGCUGAGCUGACCCAAAGUACUCAAAGAUCACAGGC